AAUAUUUAUGAAAGGGGAAAUAUCCCCUUACAACUGCGAAGAGUAAGUGGCCAAAAGAAGGUAGGAAUAAGACAUGGAACUGGUCUUCUCCUCAGAUGACACAUUCGAGCGUUGCGAUCGCGAUUAGCGCCAUCUGAAGUUAUUUCGAUCUGAAUUAGCUUCUGCCAUCUAUUGGCAAAAGGUGUAACCUAUGUUUACGGAGGCAAUUUAUGCUGUGUUGUCAAUAGGCUUCUUGAAAUCUUUAACUAUUUUAGUCGUUGAUUAUCUUUGCUUGUAUCUGUAUAUGUGUUUUAAUGUUUUCUAUACAAAAUUUGUCUCAUUUUCGUGUAAAAGAUAUCUAUUAUUCUUAAAACGGAUCUCUUCUUUAUUGGGAUUGAAUGUUUAACAGAAAUUGCCGGUAACUGGUGAAUGACAUUAACUUGGCUCUCGUUCAAAUUCAUUGGACAUAUUUUAGUUGAAGCCUAAUAUCUGUUUUCGUGUAUAAAAACUGUAAAAUAUCAGCGAUAUGUACAUAUUUUUAAGUGUGAUUCAUUGCUGCGAAGAGUAAGACCUCAAUUUUCCAUCAGUUCUUCGUAGAUUUGUCACUUUCAUAGUGCAUAACGACGAAUAUAAAUGACCCUUUAAAACCGCAAAAUUACUGGAUAAUACUUUUCUUAAUUUGAGAGCAGUUAUGGUUGAAUCCCUUUUAACAGGGUUGGGGUUUUGGACACGACACGUGGGUUUUACUGACUAAAAUUGUCCAAAACCUUGAACAUAG